CCUACGGGAGGCAGCAGUGAGGAAUAUUGGACAAUGGACGAAAGUCUGAACCAGCCAAGUAGCGUGAAGGAUGACUGCCCUAUGGGUGUUAAACUUCUUUUAUGUGGGAAUAAAAUGUUCCACGUGUGGGAUUUUGUAUGUACCAUAUGAAUAAGAAUCGUCUAACUCCGUUCCAGCAGCCGCGGUAAUACGGGGGAACCGAGAUUUAUCCUGAUUUAUUGGGUUUAACGGGAGCGUAGGGGGAGUGUUAAGUCAGUUGUGAAAGUUUGCGGCUCAACCUAAACUUGCAGUUGAAACUGGCAGUCUUGAGUACAGUAGAGGUGGGCGGAAUUCGUGGUGUAGCGGUGAAAUGCUGAGAUAUCACGAAGAACUCCGAUUGCGAAGGCAGUUCACUGGACUGCAACUGACACUGAGGCUCGAAAGUGUGGGUAUCAAACAGGAUUAGAUACCCGAGUAGUC
rnacentral:rRNA from 1 species